rnacentral:lncRNA from 1 species
AGCGUCUCCGAAGGCCACCUCUCUGGCCUGGGCCAGGGGCCGAAGCGGGGUCGGCUGCUCAAGAGGCGGCAACUUUGGCUUAUACUGACUCAGCCCAGCGCCCCCUUUUUAUCCCACUUAAAAAUGGAGAAAUGGCCUCCGGGAGGAAGAUGUGAAGCGCAACGCUCUAUCUCUUCUGAUCUUCACUCAAAAGCAGCCGCAGGAGCUCUUGCUAUCUCGCUCUGGUGCAGCGUUUUUCCCUCCUCCCUCACUUUCCCACAUGCCCAGAGGCAAAGUGUCUGGCCGACGUCUGAGGAGUGAAGAAGCCACUGGGAACCACUCCCUCUCACUCACCGAACUAUGGGAGUAAAGAAGCUGCAACAUUUCUGGAGGCUCGUCCAGGUCUUCGGAAGGAUGGGUAACAAACUAUUUUCAGCCUGCGCUCCUCUAGAGUGCGUCCUGAAUCACUGGGAAUCCUUUGACCUGCAGAUUCUGAAGAGAUAAUGCUGUAUAUUCCUUCGCACAAGGGCUUGGCCAGGUUAUAAGCAGCAGGAUGGAGAAGCCUGCCCUCUGGAGAGAAGUAUCAACUUUAAUGCUAACCUGCAGCUGGACCGUUUCUGUAAACAUGGAGGCAAAUGGUCUGAGGUCUCAUACAUGCAGGUUUUCUUUGCCCUGCAGGAUAAUCUGGACCUUUGCUGAUAUUGUAAGAUAGAUCCAGCCUGCCUAGCAGUCAUCUCAGGAGAGGCUGCAAAGGACAGUCCCAGGGAAGUAAACCCCAAACCCCAGAGGUGCCUCCAGCAGGGGGAUCAGAUCCCUCCAGUCCUACUCCUGGUCCAUCACGUCCUCCCUAUCCAGGUUCUCUCUCAAGCUUGUCCUCUCCUAGGAAUCCUCGUUUCAGGCAGGUCCCAGCCUCACUCAUGCCCCUACAAGAGAUGCCUUGUGAAUAUGGCCCCAUUAAGGUAUAGACGUGUUUACUCAUGUCUUUUUUCUACAGGACUUAAGACAAAUUAAGGGGGAUCUUGGUAAGUUUUCAGAUGACCCUGAAGGGUAUAUAGAGGCUUUCCAGAAUUUAAACCAAGUAUUUGAACUCUCCUGGAAGGAUGUUAUGUUACUUUUGAAUCAAACCUUGACUACCACUGAGAAGCAGACAGCCCUGCAAGCAGUAUAGAAGUUUGUGGAUGAGCUUUGUAUCUCAUACAGUGCCAAGAAAGGGAGAGGAUAUGCAAGAAAAAGACAGAAAAAUCUAUUGGCCACCCUGCAGGCUUACAAACCCCAGAAUCCCAAAGAUGCACCUGUUAACUGCGACAAAUGUGGCAAACCAGGGAAUGUUAACAAGGACUGCCCAGGCAGCAUGAGGAAGCCAGCUCGACCCUGUCCAAUCUGUGGUGGGGACCACUGGAGGGUGGACUGUCCCCAGAGAUGCAGGUCACUGGGUCCAAAGCCAGUCUCACAAGUGUCUAACAGGAUUGAUGGGCCCCAGGGCUCCUGACCCUGGCUCUGACAGCUCAGACUGCCAUUACCAUCCAGGAGCCCUAAAUGAUUCUGGAGGUCAAAGGGAGGAAGGUGAACUUCUUCCUGGAUAGCAGAGCAGCCAUUUCUAUUCUCCUCUCCAAUCCAGGCCUCCCUUCUUCCCUUCGCAUGACCAUGAAGGGUGUCUCAGGAAAGCUUUUAACCUGAUAUUUUUCCCAACCCCUUAGUUGUAGUUGGGGAGACCUCAUGUUUACUCAUGUCUAUUUAAUCAUGCCCAAAAGCCCAACUCCUCUGUGAGGCAGGGAUAUUUUAGCUCAUAUGUGAACUACCAUCCUUAUGGCUCCGGGACACACUCCUUGCCUCCCCCUGGUGGAGACUGAUAUCAAUCCAGAAAUUUGGGCAACUCAAGGGAAAAUUGGCUGAGCCACAACCACCAUACUGAUCUGGAUCCACCUUAAGGAUCCUACCUCCUUCCCUAACC